rnacentral:lncRNA from 1 species
UCGCCUUUAACAACACUGGGAAGAGGUGCUCGUGGCUAUGAUAGAUAGGAUGAAAGGGAUACCAAAGAAUUCAGAUUGAAAGUCGAUAUUCCUAACUUCAGCGGCUCUAUGACUAUCCUAGGGACAUGAAAACUAUGUCGGAAGAGGUGCUCAUGGCUAUGAUAGAUAUGAUGAAAGGGAUAGCAAAGAAUUCAGAUUGAAAGUAAUAUUCCUAACUUCAGCGGGAAUUUCACUAUUGAAGAAUUCUUGGAUUGGAUAGUGGAUGUGGAGAGAUUCUUUGACUACAUGGAGAUGCAAACCAUGGUUUUAAAUAACGGCCGUUAUGUAACGGGUUUUGGGGGCCGUUACCUGUUAUCCCGUUAUACAACGGCCCCUCCUGAUUUGCAGGCGUAACGAUAAUGGCCGUUACCGACUGUUACAUAACGGUAACGGCCGUUACCGACUGUUACAUAACGGUAACGGCUGUUACCAAUAAUUAAAAUUUUUUAUUAUCCUUUAUCUUCUGCUCCCUAUUCUCAUUUUCUUUAGUUUCUACACUUUUCAAUAGCUUUAAAGACUAUAUUUUUUAAGCUUUCUCUUCCCUUUCUCUUUCAAAUUUCAAUUUUCCCUACAUAUUUCUCGUAUAAACUUAGAUUCAUUAUAAACUACUCUAUUUUCAAGCUUAUUUCUUCUAAAAAGGUAGUCAAAUUUUAUCUAUUUUAGUUUUUAAUUGUUGUUUUUUUCCAUUUUUUGUAAGUUUUUGUAGAUUAAAAUGUUAGUUUUGAGUUAAAAUUGUACUUUGAGCAAUUAGUUUAAUCGAUCUAUAAAGAUUAUGUUGAUUUUUCUUAUUUUAAACUAUAUGAUGUUUAACUUAAGUUAAAUAAUCUAUAUUUUAUAUAUUUAUAUUUAUUAUGCAUUUGUAUACAUUGUUCUGAAUUAAAUCUAAUCAAUCUCAUUUUAUUUAUGAACUUUCCAAUUUUUUUUAAAAUAUUUGCGUAGCGCCAAGCCGUUACCGUUACCGUUACGUUACGGCCGUUAAAAGUCUAUUUCUGUUACCCGCGACCACGACCGCGAACGUGGCCGCGACCGUUGUUUAAAAUCAUGAUGCAAACAAAAGGAAAGUUAAAGGGGUAGCAUGCCGGCUCAAGGGAG